CACUGAAAAAUGUAGCUUUUCAGGUUGUGCUUUUAGAAUCUCGGGAUAGAAUUGGUGGUCGAGUUCACACUAACUACUCAUUUGGUUUUCCUGUUGACAUGGGAGCAGCCUGGUUGCAUGGUGUCUGCAACGAGAAUCCAUUGGCAUCUUGGAUUGGAAGACUUGGUCUACCAAUUUAUCGAACUUCUGGUGACAAUUCUGUC